GACGAACGCUGGCGGCGCGCCUAACACAUGCAAGUCGAGCGAGAACCAGGGCUUCGGCCCUGGGGACAGCGGCGAACGGGUGAGUAACACGUGGGUAACCUGCCCUCGGCACCGGGAUAGCCCGGGGAAACUCGGAUUAAUACCGGACAGCCUCAUGAGCCCUCGGGCGAAUGAGAAAAGGUGGCUUCGGCUUCCGGCUGAGGAUGGGCCCGCGGCCGAUUAGCUUGUUGGUGGGGUAACGGCUCACCAAGGCUCCGAUCGGUAGCUGGUCUGAGAGGACGAUCAGCCACACUGGGACUGAGACACGGCCCAGACUCCUACGGGAGGCAGCAGUGGGGAAUCUUGCGCAAUGGGCGAAAGCCUGACGCAGCGACGCCGCGUGCGGGAAGAAGGCCU
rnacentral:rRNA from 1 species